UGGGGAAUAUUGCACAAUGGGCGCAAGCCUGAUGCAGCCAUGCCGCGUGUAUGAAGAAGGCCUUCGGGUUGUAAAGUACUUUCAGCGGGGAGGAAGGUGUUGAGGUUAAUAACCUCAGCAAUUGACGUUACCCGCAGAAGAAGCACCGGCUAACUCCGUGCCAGCAGCCGCGGUAAUACGGAGGGUGCAAGCGUUAAUCGGAAUUACUGGGCGUAAAGCGCACGCAGGCGGUCUGUCAAGUCGGAUGUGAAAUCCCCGGGCUCAACCUGGGAACUGCAUUCGAAACUGGCAGGCUAGAGUCUUGUAGAGGGGGGCAGAAUUCCAGGUGUAGCGGUGAAAUGCGUAGAGAUCUGGAGGAAUACCGGUGGCGAAGGCGGCCCCCUGGACAAAGACUGACGCUCAGGUGCGAAAGCGUGGGGAGCAAACA
rnacentral:rRNA from 1 species